GAUGAAGAACGUAGCGAAAUGCGAUACUUGGUGUGAAUUGCAGAAUCCCGUGAACCAUCGAGUCUUUGAACGCAAGUUGCGCCCGAAGCCAUUAGGCCGAGGGCACGCCUGCCUGGGCGUCACACGUCGUUGCCCCCCCAUCUACUCCUUCGGGAUUGCGGGGGGCGGAUGAUGGCCUCCCGUGCGCCUCGUCGCGCGGUUGGCAUAAAUGCCAAGUCCUCGGCGACGCACGCCACGACAAUCGGUGGUUGCGAAACCUCGGUUGCCCGUCGUGUGCGGUCGUCGCGCAUCGAGGGCUCGAAAAAAUUGCCGGGCUCCGGCUCGGCUUUCAACGCGACCCCAGGUCAGGCGGGGUUACCCGCUGAAUUUGAGCAUAUCAAUAAGCGGAGGA
rnacentral:misc_RNA from 1 species